rnacentral:tRNA from 1 species
GGGAAUAUAGCUCAGUUGGUAGAGUGCUUGCUUUGGAUGCACAAGGCCCUGGGUUCGAUCCCCAACACCACCA